rnacentral:lncRNA from 1 species
AACUUUUGAGACAGAGUAUCUAGUUAUAUAGACCAGACUGGCCUUGAAUUUACAGAGACCCACAUGCCUUUGCCUACCCCCAGCUCAUAUUUCAACUGAAGACUAAUCAAAGGGUUUUGCUUUUCUGAUGCAUUGUCUAUGUAGCUCUGGCUGUCCUGGAAUUCACUACAUAGGCAAUGCCAGCCUCAAACUUUCAAACCCACCUGGCUCUGCCUCCCAAGUGCCGGAAUGGAAGCCUGUGAACCAUGUCUGACUCAGAAGAGCAAUCCAAAAGCACAGAACUUUGCGCGCGCGCGCGCACACACACACACACACACACACACACACACACACACACACACACACACCCCUACCUUUCUAUAUGGUAUGCAUACUUACACGCUAUCUUACAAAGUAGCAACCGGUCUCUAAGAAGCCUUCUUUAAUCCCUCCAUGAAUACAUUCUAUUUUUCUUUAUCUAACAAUUAUAUUAUCAUAAAUAUUCACUUAUCUGUACAUACAUAAUCUUUCUAGAUGGCCAGCUUAAGAAGGGGGUAAAUUAUAUAAUUUCCUUAUCACUAAAUCCCUAGCACCGAAUAUAAUAACAAGCAUACAGUAGAUAAUAAAUAUUUGCAAAGGAAAGACAGAAAUCACAUAACUUUCAAAAAAUCUGCAUAUAAUUUUUUACUAAAAAUGUUCAAAAUAAAAUGUAUAAAUUUUGAUUACAAUGUUUUUAUUUCACAUUAUAAUUCAGUAUUUUGGUUAUGGGGUAAUUAUAAUGAAUCAAUCUAUGUUCUAUCCAUUCAGUCUGAAGGUUCCUGGCCCUGAUCUCAAAUGUUUGAAAACCAGUAUACUACAUAGCCACUAAGCUAGACGUACCAAGUAAGCCCUUUUCUUUUGGUGCAUUAGUACCGCUACAAUGUACUGUGUAAGAUUUCAAAUAACCCAAUUACUACCCAGUAAACUUAUUUUUCUGAUUACAGACCCAUUCCUGACAGCAGACAUCAAAGGUAUUUUCCAUGACGCCAUUUAGAGCAUUAGAAAUAUUUCCCAAGGACAUGACGUAGGGGAGGAACAAGCACAUCCUGCAGUCACAGUGAGCACAAGCUGUAGUUGGUUUCCUGUCCUAGGUGUCCCUGCUCCUAGGUCAGGUCACGGGGUAACCUGAGGAAACGCCCCUAGGUGUCAAUCACUGAGAAGAGAGAAAGAAUAAGUACAUAGCUCCCACACAGUCUUUCUUUUUUUUCAGAUUAAUUUAUGUGUGUAUGCGUGCGUGUGUUUGUGUGUCCAUGCAUGUGCUGCCUACCAUAAGCAUACACAUGGAGGUCAGAGGAAAACCUGUGGGAAUCGGUUCUUCUUGCGCUAUGCUGGUCCCAGGGACUGAACUCAGGUCAUUAGACUUGGUGGCAGGUUACCACUGAGGCAUCUCACCUUCAGGCCUAAGUGUCUUUGAAAAAAACUUCUGGUAAGGGUUUUGUGGAAAGGUGAAAAUCAGUCAUUCCUGAUAAUAACUAUCCACACGUACUUAUUUACAGCAGAGUAGAAUGAAGGAAAGCUUUCUUCAAAGCAGAUGUAUAGAAAAGACCAUGGCUCCAAGCAGAUCCAGGAGCUGCCUAACAAAAUUAUCCCAAGGCGAGGAACACGGCUCAGCGGUAGAGCACUUGCCUAGCAUGUGAAAGGCCUUGGACCAACCCCCUGCAAAACGGAAAAGACAGAGGAAAUCCACUCCACUAUCAUUCUGCUUUCAAAUAUUAACAACUUCAAAUAAGAACCUAUUUUCUGUCUAACCCAAUAAAUAAAAGUAGUGGUUUUCCCCAUUCAAAUCAUCUAAUUAUGAAAUCCCUGCCUUCAGAAUGUAUAACAUAUAAAUUAGGUAACUCAGGACCAGCAAGACAACUUAGCACAUAAAGGCAUUUGUCAUCAAGCCAGACAGCCAGUGUUCCAUAUACGGUGGAAUGCACACAUUCAACACAUACAUAGAAAAACAGUAUUUAAAAGUUAUAUAAUUUAGCCAGCAGUGGUAGCACAUUCCUUUAAUCUCAGCACUCAAGAGGCAGAGGUAAGUGGAUCUCUAGUGAGCUCGAUUGAGGCCAGCCUGUUCUACAGAGAGAGUUCCAGGAUAGCCAGGGAGGACAUCAUUUUCUAAAUUUACAAAAAUGGACAAUACCAACUCUACAAGUAUAUUUUAAGAAAAAUCUUUUUUAAAAUUAAUUCUAUAUACACAGUGCUCACAUGUAUUAUAUACAGACGUUUCUAAUAACUGUUGGCAAACAAUAGAUGUUAAGACACCACUCCCAUCUCAACCUUGAACUAACAAGGAGGCCAAUCCUAGCAUCUGGCACAGCUCCAUCAAAAAGGUCUCUGUAGCCAAGCUUGGUAGAGAAUGCCUGCAACCUCAGGGUCCCGGAGGCUGAAGCAGGAGGAUUGUGAUCUUUAAGGCCUGCUGGGACUAUAUACCACAAAAUCCUAUCCCCAGAACCUAAGCGUCAGACUGUAGGCAGCAUGUGCAGUUCAAUCCACAGA